GACGAACGCUGGCGGCGUGCUUAACACAUGCAAGUCGAGCGGAAAGGCCCUUCGGGGUACUCGAGCGGCGAACGGGUGAGUAACACGUGAGCAACCUGCCCUAGGCUUUGGGAUAACCCCGGGAAACCGGGGCUAAUACCGAAUAUGACCUCUGGACGCAUGUCUGGGGGUGGAAAGUUUUUCGGCUUGGGAUGGGCUCGCGGCCUAUCAGCUUGUUGGUGGGGUGAUGGCCUACCAAGGCGACGACGGGUAGCCGGCCUGAGAGGGCGACCGGCCACACUGGGACUGAGACACGGCCCAGACUCCUACGGGAGGCAGCAGUGGGGAAUAUUGCACAAUGGGCGGAAGCCUGAUGCAGCGACGCCGCGUGAGGGAUGACGGCCUUCGGGUUGUAAACCUCUUUCAGCAGGGACGAAGCGCAAGUGACGGUACCUGCAGAAGAAGCGCCGGCCAACUACGUGCCAGCAGCCGCAGUAACAC
rnacentral:rRNA from 1 species